GACGAACGCUGGCGGUGUGCUUAACACAUGCAAGUCGAACGGAAAGGCCCUGCUUUUGUGGGGUGCUCGAGUGGCGAACGGGUGAGUAACACGUGAGUAACCUGCCCUUGACUUUGGGAUAACUUCAGGAAACUGGGGCUAAUACCGGAUAGGAGCUCCUGCUGCAUGGUGGGGGUUGGAAAGUUUCGGCGGUUGGGGAUGGACUCGCGGCUUAUCAGCUUGUUGGUGGGGUAGUGGCUUACCAAGGCUUUGACGGGUAGCCGGCCUGAGAGGGUGACCGGCGACAUUGGGACUGAGAUACGGCCCAGACUCCUACGGGAGGCAGCAGUGGGGAAUAUUGCACAAUGGGCGGAAGCCUGAUGCAGCAACGCCGCGUGCGGGAUGACGGCCUUCGGGUUGUAAACCGAUUUCGCCUGUGACGAAGCGUGAGUGACGGUAAUGGGUAAAGAAGCACCGGCUAACUACGUG
rnacentral:rRNA from 1 species